UGAGCUGAACAGUUCAGAUCUGGUAGUGAGCGACCCAGUUCCCAGAUCUGUGCCUAGCGUCUUCGAAGAUGGGCAAUCUGUUAUGUUGCUGUAGGGGAUGUGCCCUGCUGAGGAGGCUGUGGCCA